CGGGUAUUAAGCAGCCAAAAAGAUGAAGAUGCUGCAGGCAUUGGAGAGGUCUCUGAGAAAAUAGAAGAGCUUGUACUGGUAUCACAGAGCCUACCACAUGUCACUGCAGCAAUCCAAGUUCUGCUGUGUUGUUUGUAUGAAGUUCAUCGAGGAGCCAGUCUUCACACAUUGUUGCCGAAGCAUUAUUGGCUACAAAACAUGUGUGGAACAGUGGCAGGAGACCUCUGUGUACUGUGCAAAAUGUAGAGGGAACACCACAGGCAACAACAUAUUUGAAAUUAAUGGUUUGUCAGAAGCAUUUUCUGUUCUGAGAUCUCUUUUUGAAGAUUAGUAGCAUUUUGCACUUUUGUACUCACAAAUAGGCAUGUUGUAUUUGACUUUGUUUUAUUGAUUCAAAAAUUGAGUUGUAAUGUUAAUUUAUUUACAUGUUUAGGCUGGUUGAUGUGAUUGGUGUUCAUUGUUCUUGUUACAAAUUUACAUUCUGUUCAAAUAGAGCAAUCUGCUUUUCACACAUUGCGCCGAGUUGUGGUUAUAAGACAGAGCAAUGCCUGUUUGUACGGAGCCAAUUCAUUGUUCACUGCUCUAGAGAACAAGUCUGAAAUGUCUGAAUAUUGCUCAGCAAACUGAUUCUCAACUCUAAGUUUGUCCUGUUCAGUUGAAAAUGGAUCAACUCCAAAAGUUGAAUGUGUGGUCAGUAAGGAUCCCAGCUGUUGGCUGUAAAGGUCUGCUGCAUCAACUGAAUGAGGCAGCAGCUCCUGUGGGAUUUUUUUGGGACAUCCACAGCCAGCCAAGUCAUUUGGUACACCUUUACCUGUAAAAUAAAGAACAGACUGUUGGUCUUAACUUA